rnacentral:rRNA from 1 species
UCCUACGGGAGGCAGCAGUAGGGAAUAUUGGGCAAUGGAGGCAACUCUGACCCAGCCAUGCCGCGUGCAGGAAGAAGGUCCUCUGGAUUGUAAACUGCUUUUGAAUGGGAAGAAACGUAGUCUUGCGAGGCUAUUUGACGGUACUAUUAGAAUAAGCACCGGCUAACUCCGUGCCAGCAGCCGCGGUAAUACGGAGGGUGCAAGCGUUAUCCGGAUUUAUUGGGUUUAAAGGGUGCGUAGGCGGCUUUAUAAGUCGAUGGUUAAAGGCAGCAGCUUAACUGUAUGCAUGCCCUCGAUACUGUAGAGCUUGAGUGAUUUGGAGGUGGCUAGAAUUCCCUGUGUAGCGGUGAAAUGCAUAGAUACGGGGAGGAAUACCGAUUGCGAAGGCAUGUCACUACGAAUUAACUGACGCUGAGGCACGAAAGCGUGGGGAUCAAACAGGAUUAGAUACCCUGGUAGUCCACGCCGUAAACGAUGAUUACUAGUUGUUGGCCGAUGGGUCAGUGACCAAGGGAAACCGAUAAGUAAUCCACCUGGGGAGUACGCCGGCAACGGUGAAACUCAAAGGAAUUGACGG